UCCAUUAAACGUGCUGGUGAUAGGUGCUUGUAAAAAAUAGGUGCGGUUUUUAGGGCGAAGGACAUUUGUCCCAGUUUGGAGGAAAUGUUACUCCACACUUUCAUUCAAGACGCGCUGCCUUGCAAUCUGUUCCUAGCUCAUAAAGGCAGGUCUUAAGAUGUACUACACCGCGCAACUCAUAUAAAUAGUAUCUACUCAGGACCUGCUGGCGGUCUAUUUCGCCAACAAGGCCUACAAAGUCUUGUGCAAACUUCGAAUGGCAACGCUUCAGGAUGGGAGAUCUGAGCAGUGCCGCCGUUCCUUUGAGAUGGCUCUGGAGCCAACAGUCGAUGUCAGAAUGCCCUACUUGGAAGGGUCAUUCUGAUACUGAAUCAACGCGACCCACGUCUCUAUAGGGAGGGUUUAAGUCUUCUCAAUGCGGCCUAUAAGCUUGAUGAACCCCAUCCAGUAGUUUUAAGUAUUCUUGCGACCUGCCACUAUUUCAUUGGAGAUCUGGUGAUCUGGUCUUUAAUCUGGCUCAAAUUCGCAUUGGCUUCAUCGAAAUUGCGCAGCUGCAACCGCAUAGUUGCUGUAAGGUGGCCAGAGUCACCAUGCAAGUGAGGAAUUCGACUUCGCCAGGACAUACUAUCAGGAUUCGGUAAGUUUCGCACUUGAAAGCUUCCACGAGGCUAAAGAGACGAAAAUUCGGCGGCUAUGAAGUUGUAGUGCCCUACAAGUCCAUUAUCGCCGAAUAUCUGAGCUAUUAUGACUGCCUGAUAUCCAGCUCACAGACAACAAUAACAUUGCAGCCAGGACCUAUUUGGGAAGCUGAAGCUUACCAAAAAGUCCUUCUCUAUCUUCGAUGUGAUCCUGGGUAGCUCGGGAAGUACGCCCAGAUGGCUUCAUCUAAGAACAAGACAGAAAAGCGCGACAUCAGGAAAAUGCCUUGAACUCAAGGAUUCUCCAGCGCAGUCCUGAGCAGUUGCAUCGAUCUGGCCUUGAUCAUUAAUGAGGAAGCCAAGCAAAUCCCAGCCCAUCCAAAACCCGAAUGGGAUGAGCCCAAGACCCCAAUGUUUCAAGACUAGACUGCCAGACUACUUUGAGGCCAUGUCCUUAUCCAUUACCCCGUCCCUCAAGUGGAUUUGGUCCAGCCCUAUUUGGGACAGAACUUAGCCUUCAGGUGCGGAACUCACUGGAUUCUGAUAGCAUGUCUUGGCGAAGUCGAAUUCAACACUUCCAUGGUGACUCUGGCCACCUUAUAACAACUGUGCGAUUUCAGCUGCGCAGUUUCGAUGAAGCCAAUGCGAAUUUGAGCCAAAUUUAAGACCAGUUGGUAAUCUCCAAUGAAAUGGUAGUAGGUCGCAAGAAUACUUAAGACUACUGGAUGGCAUUCAUCAACCUUAUAGGCCGCAUUGAGGGGACUUAAACCAUCCCUAUAAAGUCUUGGGUCGCGUUGAUUCAGUUUCACAACGACCCUUCCAAGUAGCGCAUUUUGACAUCGACUGUUGGCUUCAGAUCCAUCUCAAAGGAACGGCGGCACUGUUCAGAUCUCCCAUCCUGAGAUUCGAUUCCAUUCGAAGUUUGUCCAAGUCUUUGUAGGCCUUCUUGUCAAAGUAGGCCUCCAGCAGGUCCUCUCCAGAUACAAUUUAUAGGAGCUGCACGGUGUUGUACAUCUUAAAACCUGCCUUUAUGAGCUAGGAACAGACUGCAAGGCAACUAAGGAAUCUGUUUGUAUAUAAAAUUGUGUGCAGAAACAUUUCCUCCAAGUUGGGACUAAUGUCCUUCGACUAAAAACAGCUUCCAUUUUUUACAAGCACCUAGCACAAGCACGUUUUUAAAGUCGCGUUGAUCCAGUUUCACAAUGACCCUUCCAAGUGGGGCAUUCUGACACCGACUGUAGUGCUUCAGAGCCCUUUUAAAGGAACGACGGCACUGUUCGAUCUCCUAUCCAGAGAAAACAAUGUCCUAUCACAGAGCGAACAUCAGCAGGUCUCCGAGGUUGGGUCACUCUUGAAAUAGCGGAAGGAUCCUAUGUAAUCCUGACGCUUGAAGGCCAAUGACCCACGUUCAACUAAGUUCGGCGGAUUUGGUGACUUCUGGAGAGGGAGGAGGAAAGAGUCGACUCAUGUCCGAAGAGGAAAAUUGUGAUUUAAAUGCAAGCGAAAUCGAGUCAGCUGAUUAAAAAUGUGCACUCCAAUGCCACACAUCUCUAAACCAAUUAAAUAAUUAAUAAAAUAGGCAUUAUUUAUUUCAAAAAUAUUAUUU